rnacentral:misc_RNA from 1 species
GAUGAAGAACGCAGCGAAAUGCGAUAAGUAAUGUGAAUUGCAGAAUUCAGUGAAUCAUCGAAUCUUUGAACGCACAUUGCGCCCCCUGGUAUUCCGGGGGGCAUGCCUGUUCGAGCGUCAUUUCACCACUCAAGCCUCGCUUGGUAUUGGGCAACGCGGUCCGCCGCUUGCCUCAAAUCGUCCGGCUGGGUCUUCUGUCCCCUAAGCGUUGUGGAAACUAUUCGCUAAAGGGCGUUCGGGAGGCUACGCCGUAAAACAACCCCAUUUCUAAGGUUGACCUCGGAUCAGGUAGGGAUACCCGCUGAACUUAAGCAUAUCAAUAAGCGGAGGA